UUGCAAGCCUCUGCAGAGGCGCUGGAGCUGGGUCAGUCCGCCGCUCACCCCGCGGCCGCACCUUCCCGCCUUCUCAGGUAACUAAGUGCGGGUCUCGGGCCUGGCAGAAGCUUCUUCGGCCCCGUGCCCUCGCCUGGCCCCGCCCCGUCGGUUGUGUGCUUGUCUCGUCCUGCCCCCAGGCCCUGCCGGUCCCCACCGUUAGGCCGGCGUCCCUGCCCGGCCCCGCUGCGGGCUGGCGCCAGCUCAGGAGGACGCCCCGAAGCCGAGGCCUCGGAAGCAGGUUUUUCCCAGACCUUCUCCUGUCCCGCGUUCCCCCUAGGCCGGCCGUAGGGACCAGACCCCACCCUAAGCCCAUAGCCGGCCUUCGCGCUCCGGGUGACCCUGGCUGGCCCUGUUUGUCUGUGGGUCCUGGGAUGCGCCACUCCCGGCAGGAAGGGGCGCCGCCGAGGCCCGGUCUCAGCCUGGAACCCCGCUCCUGCCGUCGGGGCGCUUUCUGCGGCUGCCCACACACGACCCCAGGCAAGGGGUGGGGGCGCGGGACCCUCCAUGACAUGGCGGCGGGGCGCUCUCACUUCUUUGAAACCAGCGUAAACUGGACCCGCCCCACCUCCCAUACCUUGGGGGAGCCCCGGGAAAGGCUGUGGCCUGGGGGUCUGCAGGGCGUUGGCAGUGGAGGUGGGGAGAGACCCCAGCCCUUUCCUGUCCCCCCCACCAGCCUUGCCUUCCUCGCCGUGAGCCGGGGACAGUGGAGGGGAGUCAGGGAGGGCCCACCAGAUGGACUUUCUUGUGACUCAUCCUAUAAAGCCCCUCGGGCUUAGCCACCCUCCCCAGGACCCGUGUGGUCUCCCGGACUGUGCUGGAAGCUUAGAGCCAGAAUGACUUUUCCACCCUCGGGCUGGCUGGCUCAGUGGGCAGCAGGGACAGGGGGCUGUGAAGAGAAAACUCACUCGCCAGGGUCAGGGGCCGCUUGCUCACUGAGGAAAGCAGAGGGGUUCCUGCCGCUUGCCUCAGGAACAAAGCUAGUUGGUGAGGCACUGCCUUGCAGUUGUAGGAGAGGAAUAAUGGCCCCCGUGGGUGCUUGGUUGGAACGAUUAAAGGAGAAUAACAGUUUAGCACGAUUAUUUCACACAGUUGUUCAAAGAGAUGGCUUUGAAUUCCAGCUUACAUGGCGUCUUCAACAAAAAGUAAUUGUUUAGAGAAGUGACAAGAUGAAGGAGGACUCUGAGUCCUAGUCUCCCUCCUCGAGUCCCUGUGUGAGCAGAGGUAAACAAUGAAAACUCACCAACCAGGAGAAAUUCACCUAGGACUGGCGCAGAAGGUAUACACCAUGAGCCUGGAAAUGAUUUAAAAAACAACACAGGCUGGGCGCGGUGGCUCACACCUAUAAUCCCAGCACUUUGGGAGGCAGAGGCGGGCGGAUCACUUGAGGUUUGCGAGUUGGAAACCAGUCUGACCAACGUGGAGAAACCCCGUCUUUACUAAAAAUACAAAAUUAGCCAGGUGUGGUGGCGCAUGUCUGUAAUCCCAGCUACUGGGGAAGCUGAGGCAGGAGAAUCCCUUGAACCUGAGAGAUGGAGGUUGAUGUGAGCUGAGAUCACACAAUUGCAGUCCAGCCUGGGCAGCAAGAGUGAAACUCCAUCUCAAAAAAACAAAAAAAACAACCCACAACUGUGGGCCAAAGGGACACAGCGACAAGGGGU
rnacentral:lncRNA from 1 species